rnacentral:rRNA from 1 species
ACGGAAGGCAGCAGUGGGGAAUAUUGCACAAUGGGGGAAACCCUGAUGCAGCGACGCCGCGUGAGUGAAGAAGUAUUUCGGUAUGUAAAGCUCUAUCAGCCGGGAAGAAAAUGACGGUACCUGACUAAGAAGCACCGGCUAAAUACGUGCCAGCAGCCGCGGUAAUACGUAUGGUGCAAGCGUUAUCCGGAUUUACUGGGUGUAAAGGGUGCGUAGGUGGUAUGGCAAGUCAGAUGUGAGAACUUUGGGCUCAACCCAAAGCCUGCAUUUGAAACUACCAAACUAGAGUGCAGGAGAGGAAAGUGGAAUUCCUAGUGUAGCGGUGAAAUGCGUAGAUAUUAGGAGGAACACCAGUGGCGAAGGCGGCUUUCUGGACUGUUACUGAUACUGAGGCACGAAAGCGUGGGGAGCAAACAGGAUUAGAUACCCUGGUA